GUUUGAUCCUGGCUCAGAUUGAACGCUGGCGGCAGGCUUAACACAUGCAAGUCGAGCGGUAACAGGGGUAGCUUGCUACCCGCUGACGAGCGGCGGACGGGUGAGUAAUGCCUAAGAAUCUGCCUAGUAGUGGGGGAUAGCCCGGGGAAACCCGGAUUAAUACCGCAUACGCCCUACGGGGGAAAGGAGGGGAUCUUCGGACCUUUCGCUAUUAGAUGAGCCUGCGUAAGAUUAGCUAGUUGGUAGGGUAAAGGCCUACCAAGGCGACGAUCUUU
rnacentral:rRNA from 1 species